UACGAAAAACUUUAGAAUUUUUUUAUAAUUAAUUAAAUAAAUAUUUUAAAAUUUUAUGUAAAUUAGCUGAUAAAAACGUGUAUAAAAGCGGAAGAUUUUUUUAAUAAUACUAAAGUCGUAAGUGAAUGUAAAUUAAACGGAUUCCAAUUUACCUCCGCUUGGUUAUCAAUCACUCCUAAAAAAAUGUUAAGCAAAUUAUUAAUAUUUAUUCUACUGAUUACACUUUUGGCUCUUAAUGCAAAUGGUGAAUAUUGUAUUCCCGUGGGACGAUCGUGUCAAUGGGACGAACCCCCACCUUGCUGUGGCAAUUCGGGAUGUAUCGUUUCAACGUCGGGAAAGGGAGAGUGUGAAAUUCUCGGAUCUGGAAAAUAAUCAAUAGAAAAUCCAUCUUAAGAUUUUGUUUACAAUUAUCUUAAUAAAAAAGUAUACGGAAAUUGUUA